CUUGCAGGUGGCAGCACGAAAGUGCCGACCUCUGAAAUCAGCCCCCUGAGACGGAGAAAAGCAUUGCGUUUAAAUCAACCUGUUCGUCCUUCACUGUGUUUCUCAAGAAGAGGAUCAGAGAUAAAGAGAAAUAUGAAAAUUUGAGGCAACUGUGUGCUCAAGAAGUGGGAGUAGAGGGGCCGGCCUGGUGGCUCAGCGGUUAAGUUCGCACGUUCCACUUCUCGGCGGCCCGGGGUUUGCUGGUUCGGAUCCCGGGUGCGGACAUGGCACUGCUUGGCAGCCAUGCUGUGGUAUCCCCUGAAUGCCUUCUACACAUCCGCAGUAGCACCUAUUGAUGACAAAGACAGCACCUGCCCACAGGAAACAUAGACCAUUCAACUGAUAACAGUCCUGGAGGCUGGAAGCCUACGAUCAAGGUGCUGGCAGACAUUGUUCCUGGUGAGCGCUCUCUUUCUGGCUUCUUCUGCUGUCUCUUCGCAGCUGUGGCCCCUUGGAGGAGGGAGCUGGGCCUUUCCACGCCUGGUUCUGUUCAUCACACAAGGAGAUUACCGAGUGAUGCUCCUGAAGCUUUCAUCCAGGGAAUCUGAGGUUUGAAAGUGUGGGAACCCCCUCCAGGAAAGAAGUAUUUAUUGUGGCCAAAAUUUUAUGUGGAUG
rnacentral:lncRNA from 1 species